rnacentral:lncRNA from 1 species
UCACCUCGCAUCUCUGUCGGCUAUGUAGGCAGCACAGGUAUUCGUGUUGUUUCGUCGUUCUAGUUGGAUAACCGGCCGGUACAGUAUGUACAUGUAACAUACUAGUAGAAGAAACAAAGUUAAACCAAUUAAAGUGUAUUUUUUAUUUUUGAAAGUAAAGAAAAUCAAGUGAUAGAUUCUAAGCUUAGGGGAUCUAUAUGGCUCUCUCGUAUCUCUAGCCAUAUUAUGUCACGUUAAAUCAACACAACACGUUACUAUCGUUUGUGCCAUGCCAUGCUAAUCUGCAAAAAUCUAACUAUAUUCAAACUCGACCCAUGACACGUGGUUCCAUCAUCAUGCCUUGCCAACCCAAGGCCUACUCCCCG